AGCUUAGCCCGAGCCUAACCAUGUUUUGCGAGCCUCGCUGGGAUCUCACGUUUAGAUCUCCCAAUGAUGAUAGAGUUGCACUGCCCCGGCAAGCAAGCUGUAUAAAUAACUUUUAAUCUCCGAGACUCCGCUGUUUGUGGAAAAAGAAAAGCAAACAUCGGGACAUUUCGCAAUAAGAUCUGCCUGCCCCACGGGGAUACAAGAAACAUACAUAUGAGAACAUCGACAUGCAAUUCGUUGUCCGUUGCCCUAUCGUAAUAUAAAACAUCAAGAACUAUAGUUAUUGUCCGUUGCCCCAACAUGUCGGAAUAUAAAUCACCAAAGCCAGUGUCCGUUACCACCCCCUAGAAGGAUUUGCCUACCAUCGACGCCCUAAAGCGCCAAACCCAUACCCAAAACGGUCCCUAGGAUACCUACACUCAACGUCAUCAGGACGCCACCGGGUAAUACCUGUUCACCGCCACUAGAUUCCGUGGUGCUGGAUCCAGAAGCGGCCGCGGCGGUUAUAGCAGAGGUAGCCGCAGCGGUUGACCCGCCACUUGUGAAAGAGCCGCUAGCAGCAGUGCUUUUAUCUGCGGAUGGAGCGGUGGCGUUCCCGACGACUCCGACGCCGUAAGCCUUAGUUGACGCUCCAUCCAAAGCCCACAUCAAGCCUCCCAUGAGGUGACCUAUAAAGGUCUGAUCCUGCCAUGCUGAAAUGGUGUCCCAAAGAAGUGUAAAAGGAUCGGCCAGCUUUAGAAACCGACUCUGCGAAAGGCUGAGCAGAAAGAGGAGACUCGAUAUACCAUGCGAUUGGGUGAGGCGAACCAUGGAUUUGAGAGUAAUCACCUGUGGAACUGCCGUUGUCUAUACCAAAAGUCAAGACAACGAUAGCGCCGUUGUCUCGAGGAUUCGAGCUAAAGUAAUAGACUUCUUCUUGCUACAAUUGGCAUUCAUAAACGUUUGCCGCCAGCGAUGACGUGCAGCACUUACGAAAGUCCAUCGAUCAGGUACAUUAGCCACAGAGGGUUUGAAGUGGAGGGUGGUAGUCGAAGAAGGCUAUGCAUAUGCCGGUUAGGCAUUAUUCGUACGUGCGCUUUACGGCAUGAACUUACCUCCCAAAGCCAGCCCAUAGUUGGGAUCGUCGGUCAGACAAGUAGAAGCAGAGUGCACGCCGGUGUAAACUCCUCCGGACUGGAAGAAUGUCUGCAAAGCAGCCUUGCCAGGUGCGUCCAACACUUGAAUGCAAUAAAUCAGUAUACUAUUCACAUGUGAAUGGGCGUCGCACACCUUCUUCCGAGUUGGACACGAACAUAACACCGUCGAAACCACUCAAAGUUUCAUUGGUGAACAUGUGCAUAUCCCUGCUUUCGUACAAAUUGGACACCAUACUUGUCAGCAUUCUGACCAAGAACCUCUAUGGCAGUUGGGAUAGAAUCGUGGCGGUAACCGUCUGGAGCUGUAGCACUAUAGACGAGUACUCUGGGAGUCGACUGCUGGGCAUAUGAGGCUGCCGCCAGAAGGAGAGGAGUAAUUACUGGGAGGAGCAUUGUACGGGGUACGGGUUUACAGAGGAAGUGGGAAAGAGAGCAGAGCAAGAGAAACAAAUGAAUGACACCGAUGACGCAGAAAGAGAGAAGGGCAUGUGACAAAGUUGU
rnacentral:sRNA from 1 species